rnacentral:lncRNA from 1 species
GACAUGGGGAAGGGAAGGAAUACAUUUAUCUGUGUUUGGGAAAGUGGAAUGACUCAGGAAGGCUUCACAGAUUAUGUGCCUGGAUUAUGAAGAACAAUAUGUUUUCUCAACAGGCAAGCACUUCCCACUCCCUGCUGAUGCUGAAUGGCUUUUCAUGGAAGCACUUAACAGUGGUUGUAGAAGGACUGCCAUUUUUUUCUACAUGGCUCAUGGGGACCCAGCUGUGAUGGCAGUGCUGAUCCACAACCCAACAGUAUGGGCUUUCUCCACCCACACUCUUUCUGGGUAAUUGCUAGGGAAGAUUCACAUCACUUCAGGAUUCUUCAAUGGACCCACUUAAACAUGAGUUAAGUAACUACCUAUGGAAGCAUUCAUUUGUUGUGUGCUUCCUGGAUAUCAGGCACCAUGACUAGCACUGUGCAGGCCCUCUCUUGCUUCUUAAUUCUCACAGCAAACCUUAAAAAAGUAUAUUACAAUCCCUGUAUUGAUAAUGAAGAAACCAAGAUGCAGAGAGGUUAAAUAGUUAUUCAUCUGUCAUUCAGCUUGGAAGUGCCAGAGAGGCAAUGAUUGACUUGUGUCUAGAGCCUACUACCUGGAAGGCCAGACCAAACCCCCUGUGUCACCAGCAACUCAUGCCUUGCACACCAUGCACCAAGAAGUGUAUCCUUCAUCCAUCUGUUCAUAUUAAUUCCAUAUUUUCUGACUUCUUCUCUGGGAAGAACCUGUACUAGGCCCUGGAGAAUCAAAGAUGAAAGAGAUACAGCUCCACUUAUGAAUGGCAUGAGGAUCUCUGAUGUUCAAAGAGUGGACAAGAAAAAGAAACCUAAG